AUGUACGUACGUACGUACGUACGUACGUACGUACGUAUGUACGUAUGUACGUAUGUACGUAUGUACGUAUGUACGUAUGUACGUAUGUACGU